CCAGAGAUGGCGGGCCCCCGCGCCCCCGUCCCCAACCCUUUGUUGACCAAACCACUUUUGCCUCGGGGGCAGAGCGGCCUCCGCCGCCCCCGGUGGACCAACCAACCCUGUCUCUGUACGUCGGAGUCUUUGAUGAAUAAAUGA
rnacentral:misc_RNA from 1 species